rnacentral:rRNA from 1 species
UACAGAGGUCCCAAGCGUUGUUCGGAUUCACUGGGCGUAAAGCGUGCGUAGACGGUAGCGUAAGUCGGGUGUGAAAGCCCCGGGCUCAACCUGGGAAUUGCAUUCGAGACUGCUCUGCUAGGGUGCGGAAGAGGGAAGCGGAAUUUCCGGUGUAGCGGUGAAAUGCGUAGAUAUCGGAAGGAACACCAGUGGCGAAAGCGGCUUCCUGGUCCAGCACCGACGUUCAGGCACGAAAGCGUGGGGAGCAAACAGG